GAUUUUAGUUCAGCUUUUUAACCUGGCUAUUGUACUUGAAAUCUCUUCUGUACAUGCAUGCGUGGGAGACCAGCCAGCUUUAGCAGAGUCAUACACAGAAUUUAGGGCUCUCUCUGUGGUUCUUUUCGUAUCAGGAUUUCCCUCUGCGUUUUCCAGCAGUUGCCAUUACCCCAAACGUGUCCUAGUGUUCUUCAAGUCAAUACAACUGUAGUCUCCACAUGAUGCAGAGUGAGGAGUUCCUCAGGCUAUGAACUAUAAAAAUAGGAAACUCACCCAGUGCUAUUUCUUCUAAGUAUUCACUCCUCUGUAGGAUCAACCUGCUUUUGGUUGUUUUCUAUUACUUUCAGUUAGUUAAUUUUUAAAUAUUUUGUCCAGAGUUUGUAAUUUCAUAUGUUGGCAGGUUGGUCUGAAAGAACUUCUUGACCAUCACUUGAAGUGGAACCCUCUCCAAUUGGGUAGUAUUCUUUUUCUACUUCCUAUGAUUACUGAGUAGGGAUUUGUUCCUGAUUAUUUUUAAAACUAGGUGAGUAGAAAUUUUUAACAUGUUCUAUCUAUGAAAAACCUUAAUUAUAAACAUUUAGUAAAUGUUUACCAAAUUAGCAAUUCAGUGUUUCCUAGUUGGUGUCCUACUAGGAAGGAAAAAGAAAAUGAAAAGAAGAAGAGAGGAAAGAACAAAAAUGCUUAACAACUUUUAGAAUUCCCUCCAAAUUUGUCAUCAAUAGGGUUUUUACUGAAUACAUUCUUUUAAAAUUAGCACUCUCUAAUCUUGAUGAAUUUGUAUUUUCAUAAAAAUCUGUAUUUUCAUAUUUCCAUUCAUUUGCACUGUGUUUCUCUUCGGGAAAGCUGUUAACCUUUCUUCAUAUUUACCUGUUGAAUGUUAUUUGUCCUUCCAAGUCCUGUUAGAUUCUUUCCCCUCCAGGACAACUUUCUUAAUUCUUGCAGGUGGAAAUUUUGUUCUUGUAUCUCACUCAGUGCCUAACACAGAUGUUAGCCCAGAGUAGUUUCUCAAUAAAUCCAGUUGAAUCAUUUUUGCUCUGGUUUAGAUUCUAUAUAAUCACAUAGAAAUAUGGCUUUACUAUUUCCAUUUUUAAAAAAUACAUCCAGACCUUUCACAAUUUACAAACCAGAGUAUAUUAGCUAACUUUUAAAAAAUAUUAAGAUUCAACUGUGUAUUAUUCUAGACAUAAAUUCACCUCUCCAGAAAUAAUUUGAACUAUCUGAAUGAGUUAUUGCUACUUGGAGAUUGCCUACCUACUUUUUUUCGUGCAGACUCGGUGACCUUUUUUAAAAAUAAGAAAAACAUCAAGAGUUUGUCAUUGAUCUUGUUACUUCUUUUAAUUGGUCUAAGUUUUUGACAAUAUUAUGAAUAUUGUGCUCAAUGAGAGUAAGCUUAUUCAUAAGCUUUAAUAUUUAAAAUAACAACUUGUUUAUUCAAAUUAAAACCUGUUUUCCUGUGUCAAAAGUGAACUUUUUCCUAAAUAUCAUUAUUAAUAACACUAUUGCCUACAGUUUCUUGUCAAGCAUUCAUAAGUGAAUGUGUCUUCUUCUAGAAAGUCAUCUUAAGGAAAUAAUUCCAAAUUGGGAAAAGGCAAUAUGCACAACUUUAAUUACAUCAGUUUUUAAAAGAAAAAAGAGAUGGAAACACUGAAAUUCUAACAAAUACCCAACAAAUAUUCGAGUACAUUCUAUGUACCAGACACUAUGCUAAGCACUGGUUGAGAAGACCAAAAUACAUCCUCAUGAUGUAUUACUAUGAUGCAAUGAUAUUUAUCAAUAAUAUGGGAAAAUUCUUACAGAUAUUAUAAAGUAUAUAAAAUUGUACAUGUGUGUAUUGUACAUAUAUAUACACAAAUUACAAUUAUUAUAUAAAACAAAGCAAAAACCUGUGAAUACAAAGAAGAGACUGGCAUAAAAUAUACCAAAAUAUUAUAGAUAGUGGAUUUUUUGUGUAUUUCCUCUUUAAAAUCUUCUUAAGGAUCAUAUAUUUUAGAUAGAACAAAAUAAAUUAAUCAAACUAUUCAGAAUAUGAACAAUGUCCCUAAUUUACCUAGUAGGCUUUCCCUUCAGAAUGUUUCCAUGUAUUUUUAUUCAAAAUUUAUUUUAAAAAGACACUUAGUUGACCUGUUAAAUCAUUAUCUGGACAAAUGUUUUGUUUUCAAGCUUAAAAAUGUACAUUGUUUUAUUUUAUUUUUGUCUCAUCAAAUUAAAGACCAACAAGAGAAAGAUAUCAAAUCUUUACUGAGGAAAUUUUUAUUUGUUAAAAAAAAAAUAAAGGCUUUCUUCCUGGCAUGGUUGGACAGGAAGGUUGGAUUUAAUUUAAAAUGAUUAAUGAGAUUUUGUCAGACUCCUUGACUUUGCCACCACUGCAGUUUGUCAGUGCAACAACCUGGGAAGCCGGACGCCACUCUGUCGCCCAAAACCAUUCUCCA
rnacentral:lncRNA from 10 species